GGAGGGUACAGCUCAGUAGUAGAGUGCGUGCUUCACAUGCACAAGGUCCUGGGUUCAAUCCCCAGAUUCACCA
rnacentral:tRNA from 1 species